UCUGUCUGGCUCAGGACACACGAGACACGGAAGAAAGUGGAGUUGAAGCAGAAGACUGAAAGACCUGGACUAUUUGGACCUCAAGAAACGUGUGGCAGAAAGGUCUUGCACCCACAGAGAAAUAACUCCAUGUACCAGUAAGGGCUGGGGGCCAACCACCUGGAAAGCAGCUUUGCAGAAAGGGAGCUAAUGGUCCUGGUGGGCACCACAUUGAACAUGAGGCAGCGUUUAUGAGCA
rnacentral:lncRNA from 1 species